CUGGCUCAGGAUGAACGCUAGCUACAGGCUUAACACAUGCAAGUCGAGGGGCAGCAUGAAGUUUGCUUGCAAACUUGAUGGCGACCGCGCACGGGUGAGUAACGCGUAUCCAACCUUCCCCCAUAGUAGAGGAUAGCCCGGCGAAAGUCGGAUUAAUACUCUAUGUUGUAUUUUUGAGGACAUCUGACGAAUACCAAAGAUUGAUCGCUAUGGGAUGGGGGAUGCGUCUGAUUAGGUUGUUGGCGGGGUAACGGCCCACCAAGCCGACGAUCAGUAGGGGUUCUGAGAGGAAGGUCCCCCCACAUUGGUACUGAGACACGGACCAAACUCCUACGGGAGGCAGCAGUGAGGAAUAUUGGUCAAUGGGCGAGAGCCUGAACCAGCCAAGUAGCGUGCAGGACGACUGCCCUAUGGGUUGUAAACUGCUUUUAUAGGGGAAUAAGGUCCACUACGUGUAGUGGUUUGUAUGUACCCUAUGAAUAAGGACCGGCUAAUUCCGUGCCAGCAGCUGC
rnacentral:rRNA from 1 species